GCAAGCAAUUUCUGUCCAGUUAAGGCGGUUGCUGUCAUCACUCUGGCCUUGGUUGAACCUCAAACAUUCUGAAGACUUUGUUUGUGGGCCUGUGUGCAGAGACUGUGUGCUGCUGCUGCUGCUGCUGUCUGUUGAUCUAUGCUUGGAGAGUGACUUCAUGGAGACGGCUCAGACGUCAGGGUCCUGGCUCGCCUCUUGUUUGGAUGGUGGCCAAAAUGUGCUCAUCCAUGACAGCGAGUCCAGCUGCUCAGUCGUAGGAGUGCUGUUCUUUCUCGACCUCUGCACCCGGCCCUGAACCCGGGAGCUGGCUGGUGUGAGGAUGGGGGGUUAUUGUGAGUGUGACACCAUUCCCAGAAGCAACGGCAGGGACUGACCACUGGCAGCCUGCCGCCCCCUCGGCGCCUGCUAAGCAGCACGGCCUCGGGCCUCCACUGUUCCCUACGGAGAGGCCCAGUUUGUUCUGGACACACGCCAGCACUGAGCGAUAAGAAGAUGAAAUUGCAGGAUGUGGGAUUUCCCCUAUGAAAUGAUCAUCCCUCAUCUCCUCUAAUCUAUGUGGGGGGGGAGGAAAAAGCGCGUGCAGGGGCACAGUCGAGCUUGCACGCUGUUAGGAAGAUCACAAAGACUUUGGAGGGAGGGUGGUGUGAUGUGGCGGCUUGCUGACACAUGUGGCUACCAUUCUGUCCCUGUGUGGCAACGGUGGAGCAUCGCUCACCGGGGGAGCCUCGGUCUUCUGCUGUGUGACACAAGAAGUACUUUAAAGACAGCACUGGAUGUGUCUCCUCUCCAGCUCAGAGCUACCACUGCCCUGCAGUGCCCUGAAACAGUUGGUUCUUCUCUUCAGUCAAGAAACCAACGGAAAAUAUAUAACAGUCAACAUACUCCAUGAUGGUGCUGUCGGAACUUUCCACGCUGUUUGUCAGAUGAACCAUCUCAACACAUCUCAGUGAAUAAAUAAAUAAAUAAUAGGAAGA